UACGGAGGGUGCGAGCGUUGUCCGGAAUCACUGGGCGUAAAGGGCGCGUAGGCGGCCUGAUAAGUAGGGGGUGAAAUCCUGCGGCUUAACCGCAGGGCUGCCUUCUAAACUGUCAGGCUAGAGCACAGUAGAGGCAGGUGGAAUUCCCGGUGUAGCGGUGGAAUGCGUAGAGAUCGGGAAGAACAUCAGUGGCGAAGGCGACCUGCUGGGCUGUUGCUGACGCUGAGGCGCGACAGCGUGGGGAGCAAACAGG
rnacentral:rRNA from 1 species